GAACCUUCCUGCGUGCUACCCAAGGAGUGCCUAGGGCUACCAGGAGGCCCAGGGAGGAACCUUGAGACCUGAGAAAGGCUUUUCUUCCCCGAGAGGACCACUGCUCAGGCUCAGAGGCCAUGGGGUGAAGUGCACAAAAAAGUGGGCGUCCAGCCAUGCUCUAAGUCCCCCGAAGAUGAAGACCAGGGAGCAGCUUCCUCCAAUGAAGCAGCAGCAAUCAGAGGACCAGGAGGCUGAAGCCCUGAGCCCAGCCAGAGGCAGGAUCAGCCAAGUCUGGGACAGGCUUCAAUUAUUUUAGGAGCUUCUGGUUCCUGGGCCUUCAGACUUGGACUAGAACUUCACUACCAGCUUUCCUGGGUCUCCAGCUUGCAGAGAGCAGAUCGCAGAACUUCUUAGCCUCCAUAAUCACAAGAACGUGUUUGCUUCCCCUUCCACCAUGAUUGUAAGUUUCCUGAGGCCUCCCCAGUCCUGCAGAACUGCUUUGAAGAAGACCACUGCGUCGGUAUUUGUGAAAUGUUUUGAGCCUCUGGAUUUAAAUAAGGUUGGCACCGCUUCUGUUGCUUCCAGGAAGAUUGCAUACACAUGUAAAACCGGAAAAACGUUAAUGAAGAGAAAAACUAAAAGCUCCCGCCCCCACCCAGGCCUGCUCAGAAGAACCCAAGCCACUCAGAAGCAGGAGGCAGCCUUCACCCCAACCAGACCAAUAUCCGUUCCAGACUCAGGAUUACAACAAUCUGGGAGAGGGUCAACCAAGUCAGAGUCCCACAUGGCAGAAGAGCUGCUUUAGCUUAAGACUCUUAACUCUUUUUCUUCGGGGCAGGAAAGGUUUGAGCCAAUGAAGGAUGAGGCUUUCCAGGCCCAGGACACAACCUUGAUCCAAGGCCUAGUUGUGGCUUUAAUUUUUGUAAAUCAAGCCUCAAGUUUUUCUUCACUCUUUUAGCCAAAGAUAUGUUUCCCAGGAUGCAUGAAAUAAAUAAAUAAAAUGUACCAAAUUAGAGAUUGUGAGACAUGUAUGUCACUUAAAUCCUUUGUAGGCAAGCAGGAAUCACUGAUUCACUAAAUUCUGUCCUAAGUUUUUUUUUCUCC
rnacentral:lncRNA from 1 species